ACGUGAAAGCACAUACCGAUAAAUGGUGAAGCUGCGAACGGCUCAUUACAACAGCCAUUGUUUAUUUGAUUUUACUCUACUUGGAUACCUGUGGUAACCUAAGAGCUAAUACACGCAUUCAAGUCCAAACCUUACGGGACGGACGCAUUUAUUAGAACAAAACCAAUCGGGCUUGCCCGCUAUUUGGUGAAUCUGAAUAACUUGGCUGAUCGCACGGUCUUUGCACCGGCGACGUAUCAUUCAAGUGUCUGCCUUAUCAACUUUCGAUGGUAGUUUAUGCGCCUACCAUGGUUGUAACGGGUAACGGAGAAUUAGGGUUCGACUCCGGAGAGGGAGCCUGAGAAACGGCUACCACAUCCAAGGAAGGCAGCAGGCACGCAAAUUACCCACUCCCGGCACGGGGAGGUAGUGACGAAAAAUAACGAGACGGUUCUCUAAGAGGCCCGUCAUCGGAAUGGGUACAAUUUAAAUCCUUUAACGAGGACCAAUUGGAGGGCAAGUCUGGUGCCAGCAGCCGCGGUAAUUCCAGCUCCAAAAGCGUAUAUUAAAGUUGUUGCGGUUAAAAAGCUCGUAGUUGGAUCUGCGCUCUAGGUUUGCGGUCCCCUAAAUGGGAGGUACUGCUUUACCUGGGCUAUUUGCUCUGGUUUUCCCUUUGUGCUCUUCACCGAGUGCUCUGGGUGACUGGAAUUUUUACUUUGAAAAAAUUAGAGUGCUCAAAGCAGGCGUUCAGCCUGAAUAGUGGUGCAUGGAAUAAUGGAAUAGGACUUCGGUUCUAUUUUGUUGGUUUUCGGAGCUCGAAGUAAUGAUUAAGAGGGACAGACGGGGGCAUUCGUAUUGCGACGUUAGAGGUGAAAUUCUUGGAUCGUCGCAAGACGCACUACUGCGAAAGCAUUUGCCAAGAAUGUUUUCAUUAAUCAAGAACGAAAGUUUGAGGUUCGAAGGCGAUCAGAUACCG
rnacentral:rRNA from 1 species